rnacentral:rRNA from 1 species
GACGAACGCUGGCGGCGUGCUUAACACAUGCAAGUCGAACGGUAAGGCCCUUCGGGGUACACGAGUGGCGAACGGGUGAGUAACACGUGGGUGAUCUGCCCUGCACUUCGGGAUAAGCCUGGGAGACUGGGUCUAAUACCGGAUAGGACCACUGCCUGCAUGGGUGGUGGUGGAAAGCUUUUGCGGUGUGGGAUGGGCCCGCGGCCUAUCAGCUUGUUGGUGGGGUGAUGGCCUACCAAGGCGACGACGGGUAGCCGGCCUGGGAGGGUGACCGGCCACACUGGGACUGGGAUACGGCCCAGACUCCUACGGGAGGCAGCAGUGGGGAAUAUUGCACAAUGGGCGCAAGCCUGAUGCAGCGACGCCGCGUGAGGGAUGACGGCCUUCGGGUUGUAAACCUCUUUCAGCACCGACGAAGCGCAAGUGACGGUAGGUGCAGAAGAAGGACCGGCCAACUACGUGCCAGCAGCCGCCGUAA